AGAGCUUCCCAUAUGGGACAAUUAAGAUGGUGGGUACUAAUUACACUUACUAAUAGAUAGACAUAUAGAUGCCUACUGAGAUUUUCUCCGCAAACACUGAAGGUGAAAAAUAUUUCAUUUGAUACCGGCUUGUGGCGGGGCGGCAGUAGGUAGAUAGAUAGAUAAAACAACAACAAACAACAGCUCCGCCGCCGUCGGUUAUACUGUCACUAGUUGUUGCCCUGGUCUUUGCCUACGGAAACAGUACUUACUCCUAGGUAACUGUAUUAUUCAGGGUAUCUCCUCAGCUGCAAGACGUCGCAGGGUUUAUUUUUCUUCGCUUUCUUCAUUUGGCACGAUCACAGUCAUUAUCCCAUUAUUUGAUUGUUAUUAAUUUUUAGGAAAAAUAAAUUGUCUCCGAUAUCGUCGUUGACAAUGUCCGAACAGAGAAGUGCGGAUGGUGUGGAGUCGACAGUUGAUAUUAUGGACUUAGAUAGUCAUGGCAUUAUUCCGACGCCGACAUCAACGACAACCCAAGAUAGAAAACCAUAUAUAGAAAACCAUAG